AAUAAGCGGAGGAAAAGAAAACAACUGUGAUUCCCUUAGUAAUGGCGAAUGAAACGGGAAGAGCCCAUCGUCGAAUCGCAA
rnacentral:rRNA from 1 species